rfam:Daucus carota subsp. sativus cultivar DH1 chromosome 8, whole genome shotgun sequence.
GGGUGCGAUCAUACCAGCACUAAUGCACCGGAUCCCAUCAGAACUCCGAAGUUAAGCGCGCUUGGGCGAGAGUAGUACUAGGAUGGGUGACCCCUUAGGAAGUCCUCGAGUUGCACCCC